UGGGGAAUUUUGGACAAUGGGCGCAAGCCUGAUCCAGCAAUGCCGCGUGAGUGAAGAAGGCCUUCGGGUUGUAAAGCUCUUUUGUCAGGGAAGAAACGGGUGAGGCUAAUAUCCUUAUCUAAUGACGGUACCUGAAGAAUAAGCACCGGCUAACUACGUGCCAGCAGCCGCGGUAAUACGUAGGGUGCAAGCGUUAAUCGGAAUUACUGGGCGUAAAGCGUGCGCAGGCGGUUUUGUAAGUCUGUCGUGAAAUCCCCGGGCUCAACCUGGGAAUUGCGAUGGAGACUGCAAGGCUAGAAUCUGGCAGAGGGGGGUAGAAUUCCACGUGUAGCAGUGAAAUGCGUAGAGAUGUGGAGGAACACCGAUGGCGAAGGCAGCCCCCUGAGUCAAGAUUGACGCUCAUGCACGAAAGCGUGGGGAGCAAACA
rnacentral:rRNA from 1 species